ACCCGGAUCCACCACACACCGAGCGAUCUUCAAAGAGAACUUCACUUUUCAUCGAGCGAGGGAAAUAAACUAAGAUCAGGUCAGCUUUGUCAUUGACACAACAGAGUGGCAGCUGACAGACCUUGUUGAAAGAUUUCAAGAGGAGGGGACUGAUGAGGAGAGUUUUCUUCUUUUAGAAGAGGCUACCAUCAACAGUUGAUCCCAAGAGCUGGCCCUGGGCUGAAG